rnacentral:lncRNA from 1 species
CUUCACAGAAAGAUUUAAGGCACAGCUUUCUAUGUUAGCAGCAUGUUACUCAAUUUAUAGGAAAAUCCUGGAUGUUCGACAAUUAAAAGCCAGCAGGAAACCAUAAAGGACAUAACAACUUAUAUAUGAAAUAACCUAUCUGCUUUACUUCCUGGGAACAGAAGUGGUGGCAUCGAUAAGAGGAACGAGCACUAUUAACUGUACCAUAGGCUUCCUGUCAUUUCCAUGGGUAAAACUACAACAUCUUUCUUUUCUCUUUCCUGCUACUGAAUUUAAAUGCAGUUUAGUAAGUGUAUUGAGUAUCUACAUUAUGAAAGGUCAGAGAAAUUCAAAAAAGGGUAAGUCAUGUUCUCAGCCAUCCAGGGGCUUGUGGUUUGGGGAAACAGACGCAAUAAAAGAACUGAGACUUGAAAUGAUGAAAAAGUUUUAAAAAUGGGUAAUUGUGAUGCCUUCACCACAGUAUGAAUAUCCUUCAUGCCCUUGAGCUGGAUACUUAAAUGUAGUUAAGACGGCUAAUGGCUAAUUUUGUGUUAUGUAUAUUUUACUACCAAAAAAAAAAAAGAGAGAGAGAGAGAAGGAAUAGAAACGCCUUCCUCCCUUCUUCUAACAGAGGUAGAUUGAAUCAAGGUAAACCAGCUGCUAACAGUGCAUUUUCUGAGCAAGAGAGGAGCAGGGAAAGCCAGCGUGUGGGUCCUUCCCUUUGGGUUGCUCUCGAGCUUGGGCAGAUGGUGAAGAGUCACACACACCACACAGCAUUGCAGGUCUCGUAUUGUUCAUGGAGGGCAGAGCCAGGGUCAGGCCAGCAGGGAAAUGCUCUUUCCUGGAGAUGUACAUGACUACAUGACAUCUGAGGGAAAUUAAUUCAUGGCUUUGAAAGUUCUGCUCCCUUCAGAGGUGACCCAGUAAAGUCAGAGGCUGGGCUCCUGUUCUCACAGAGGGCAAGGCCCCAUCACGGUGCCCCAUGCUCAGAAGGGCCCCGGUGUUUGACAUAGUGCCUGUCGUCACCAUCUUUAAAUUCCUGAGAAUUUUUUUGACACAAUGUCCCAUAUUAUUUCAUACUAGGCUCUGCAAAUUGGGUAGGUCAUCAGCUUUACUGGGGCAGGAGGAUACAGCCCCUUUGCCUUCAUAGACUGUGAAGGGCAGAGAAGAAAGGCAAAGGUCCAAAGCAUGCGGUCUGAGACAUUCCUCACAUUGUGAGAAGCCAAAAGGAACCUAGGAGAGAAGUCUCCCAUGGAAAGAAAUGGAGCUGUCUUCUCGGACCAAGAAACCCACAGAUGAGGUGUGCCCGUGCACACGUGUGUGUGUGUGUGUGUGUGUGUAUGUGUGUGUGUCUUAAGUUUGAAAUGCCUUCCCUUGUGGAAUAUAAGACAACUUCUAAGUUAACUAAAAUUUAUACCUUUAGCAAGUCUUUCUUGGAAUACUCAACCCUUCAAAAAAGAGCUUUAUAUAUUGACAUUAGAGUGAGUUGUGUGGGUCUGGUGGAGACAGGGGACAAGGGCUGGGACAGGCAAGGUAGUUUUGUCCCUUUCCUUCUGAGCGCCAGUACAGAAUGGCACUGGUCCCGACCUCUCUGUCACCUCACAUCCCAGGCCUGCAGUAGGCUUUCAAAAAUGACAGCAUCUUCCACAAUGCAGAAGGCACUCAAGAUGCUCCAAACUUCAUGACACGCAUCUGUAGUGAAGAAUGGCCUCCAAGAAGAAUAAAGGACCCAAGGACCUUCAAUGUUGUGUUGAAAAAUAGACUAUAAUUAUUAUAUAAUUAUUAUCUUUUUCUGUACUGCUUGAAAUUUUUAUCAUGGAUAUAUAUAACCAGCUUAUUUAGGAAUGUCAACUCAUUAGGAUAUAAACAUGACUUUUUUGCCAGUAACUAUUCCUAGAUGUCUUAAAUAAGUAAUGCCUUUCUUAAUAUCCUCUUGACCCACUUCUGUAAGUUUUCAGACACUCUGACUUAUACAAACAGUAUCUUUUUAUUUCCUAAGACUCAGCCCUACUUAUUUUUAAAACUUCAGUAUUACAUUUCAUUCUAAUCUCAUCUCUCUUACCCACCCUAACCCCAGGCAUAGGACACAGCUCUGACUUGACUGGCCUGAGACAGACACCUGGGCUUCAUGGUCUGACUUUCACAUCUCUCCUCUCCCCUCCCUCCACCCACCACUGCUUCCUUCCCUGUCAGAGUGGGGUUGACGUAACAGGAAAAGAAUAAGAAAUGCUCUCCUGACCGGGCCAGGUCACAGUCCUACCUGACAUUGGUGGUAGUUGUUCUUGCUCAUUGUAUGUGCUCUCUGGGUGGCUGGUGUGGACAGAUGGUGGCUUCAACAUCAUCCCCUAGUAAAAGCUCACUCUCCUCAUCUGAUUGCCCUAAUUCUUUGGCAAAGUGGACAUUCAAAAAAGGAAUAAAAAUGGCAGUCACCGUUUUCACAGGUUUCCCUUUUAAAAAAAAAAAAAAAAAAAAAAAAAAAGAAUUUUCCAAGACAUCUACUUGGCUUUGGAAAAAGAAACAUCUCCUCCACAGAAAUGUGAGUCAGGGAAUAGCCUGUCUUCGCUGAGUGCUAACUCUGUGGAGGGAGGGUGGUGGGUAUUGAGCUGGUUUCUGAAUUUUUUUCUAUCUUAAGCCUGAGGGGAGGUAGUUGAGCCACCUGUUGGCUUUGCUCUGAAUCAAGAAUGUGAGAAUUAGCCAUCAUCCUGGCACUACCUGAAAGCCUGUUUGUUGCAUCUGUAUUACAUUUAUUAAAAAUGAAACAAAGUAAAAUUAUAAUUAAAAUUAUAACAAUAUAUCAUCUGUGAGGUGACAGUACAGGUAUACAUAGAGAACACUUCCAAAACACAGUGGAAGGGCACUUUACCAAGGCUAAGACAGGAAGGAUCAAGGACAAUUUCCUAGAAAAGAGAAUAUUCAUAACUGGAAAUAUUCAUAACCGGAAUAUUCAUAACUGGAAAACAGAAUUUAUCCUAUGGGAAAGGUAGGGGAAGAACAAGGUUUCUCAACCUGGGCACUACAAAUAUCUAGGCCAGAUAAUUCUUAUUGUGGGAGGCUGUUCAUACAUCCCUGAUCUCUCCCUGCUAGAAGACAUUCCUCCCCAAGUUAUGACAACCAAAAAUGUCUGCAGACAUUGUCAACAAUCUCCCAGCAGGGCAAAGGGCCUCUGGCUGAAAACUACAGGGAGAGAUUUUAUAGGCAGAUGAGAAACCAUGACCAAUGGCUCAGGUGUGAAACAGCAUGAUGUUUCUGAAAACUACACCUAUUUCCAUACGACUAAAGUGUUAAGGGCAAUGCAGGGAGUGGUGGGAGGUGGGAAGGGAGAAGCAAGGAGACUGAAAACAGAGGGUCUGACAGAGCAGGCAGAGGUGAAGAAACGUCACCCCUUUGGUGACGAUAAGUCUCAGAAAUAAAAAUGAUAUAUGGGCUUUUGAGUUCCAGGCAGAUGGACACAGGAAGAAUAAGGCUUUAGGAAGUUGACACAGUUUAGGAGCUGUGUCAGAGGUCAAGACACAAGAUGAUGGAAAGCAUCUGAAUGGAGGGAGUGGAAGGAAGGACAGGAACAGGUUGAAAUGUAUGGAGAAGGCUUGGGUGGAUGGCCCUGCAGCUGAUGACAAGAGCAUACAGAAGGAAGGAGAUCACAUUUCAUGGCUGGAAAGGAGAAAAAAAAAAUGUGUGUGUGUUGAGUAAUGGGUGCCUUCUUUUUCUCUCUUGUUAGUUAAAUUUAAGAUCUUAGCCUAUGGAAAUGUAUUUGAUCUUGACAAGUUUCUGGAUUUCUGAAGAAUGAAAUAUUCUGAUUUUAAGCAACAAGGAUGUUAUGUUUUGAUCCUCACCACCUUGGGUAACUUGUUCAACACACAAAGCAUCACAAAAAAACACAGUUGUGCUUUGUCAGUAGUUUAGAAUCCCUCAUCUCAAAUGCCAUUGUGAUAUAACUCCAACAUUGACCAAAUUAUCAGUGAAGAGUUUUAAUGUUGUCUCCGGCAAACAAUAGAGAGAGGCCAAGGUACUAUAAGAAGGGAGAGGCUAACAAAGUAUUUGAUACACAAGACUUUGCCCCAGGUUGGUACUUUAUCUUAGAGGAGAACAUGGCUAUGAUUUGGUUUGAUGCAUUACGAAUUAACUCCAAAGGAAACAUUUCCGAAAAAGAAAAACUAUGUAGCAAGAGUACAUAUACAAAAACAAAGCAAUGUUUGUUGUAAAACUGAUGAGCAAACAUCAUCAGCAUUUUUUAAUGUACUAUACAGAAUGAAGAUUUUAAAAGGAGAUUUGGCUCCUAAAUAAACUUUUCAUGGUAAGCAACCCAAGAAGUUAAGCUUCCCUUAUUAGCCUCUUUUCCUGUUCUUAUCAGUGGCCCAGAUGGUUUAAACUGAUAAGCAGCAGCUGAACUACACAAAAAAUCUCCUGAUAAACAGCAGCUAAGGGAGGGCAGGAAAGGGGCAAAAUCCAACUCUAGUGAUAAAAAUCUCAAUGCAAAUCCAAAGACUGGCAUAUGUGGCUACAACAGUGCCCCCAAAUAACACAGUAAAUUAAGUAAAUUUUUUGCACAUUAUUACAAGAUUGUAAAAAGGAUUUUAUGGUCUGUUUGAUAUGUUCUUUCCCAAUUUCUUGCAGUGCCAAAUGAAGAUCUGAAGACAUUGAUAUAACAGAAUAACAUGAGAGGAAGAAGGAAACUAAGGAAGUGAGGUGGGAAGGGGGAGAGACGUAAAGAGCAAUUUGUAUUUCUCAUAUGAUCGAUGCAUGUUUAAUAAGCUAAAAUCACUACCACUACUGAUGUGGUUUCAAGCAAGUUGGUGUCAGAUUAAAAUAAGCUGAUUUCAGGUUAAAAUAUUAUUUAUGAGGUAGGACAAGAGUGUCCACAUUUCUUAGGUAUCCCUUGGUUAAUGGCAACUGCAUUCCAUUCUUGGCUGCAAAUGCAGAUUGCUUCACUUCUCUAGUUAACACAGUCCCCCUCAGUCAAAUAGAAUCAGCACCAUUCUGUGAGUAGAGGCUAUAAGUGAUGUCUAAUUUGACUGCUUUAGAAAUACCUCUACAGCAGUGCCUCUCAAAGAAUAGUCUGUGAACAAGUAGCAUCGAUAUCAUCCAGAAGUUUGUUAGAAAUUCCGAAUGAUAAGCUCUACCCUAGACUUACCGAAUGAAUCAGAAUCUGAACUUUAACAAGAUAUUCAAGUGAAGUUAUGGUUGAUGCACUUCGAGUAGCACUGCCCUAGAAGCAUGUUGCUGCUUUGCAGCCUGCCUGUUCCUGGCCACUACUAGACGAGUACAGAAAUUGGAUGUAAGUAUUUAAAACUUUCAUAGUCCUUUGAUAUUGACAUUGACACUGACAUGUGGCCACAUCCAAGAAGCAAUGGACUCACAUCUGUCAAAAUGAAUGAACCAGUGUGGUAUUUCAGCACAUGUGCGGUUAGUUACAUGUGGGACAAGUUGCUGCCAGUCAUGGACAGAUGAUGACAAUGUCAUCAUGACGGAUUGACGGAUUUUUAAAAAGAAAAGAAAAGCUAGUUUCCUAUCACGAGUCUGAAAAAUACUAUUCUAGAGUAAAGGUCUGCAAACUUUUUUAUAGAGGGCCAGAUAGUUAUUAUCUUAAUCUCUGUAGGUUGUAAAGUCUCUGUAGAAACUACUUAACUGUCAUUUUAAAGCAAAAGCAGGAAUGGAUGAUGUGUAAGCAAAUGAGCAUGGCUGUGUCCCAGUAAAACUGUAUUUACCACAAGUGGGGGGCAGAUUUGGCCAAGCAACUGUCUUGUGCCAACCCCUAUCUUAAAGGAUGAGUGUUGGCCAAAUAUGAUGCCACUAGAUUAUCCUGAAUCCACUUAACCGAAUACAACCCUCACUUUUGAGAACGGAGGAGGAGAUAAAACAAAGGGUCACUGCCCACUGCUUUGCCAGUGAUUUAUCCUACUUGCAGUAGCCAAAGAAACAGAACCUGCUCUUCCCCUUUUGUUCCUGCAAGAGUUGAAAAUCUAUGAGGUCAAGGCCAAAUGCAUCUGGACAACAUGUAGCUGCUACCCUAGCAAAACAAGAGGAUCAAAAAGGAAAUGUCCACAACAGAGAAUGAAAAGCUAAGUUUAUGAAAAGUUAAGUUUCCCUUUCCCUAGUUCAGGGGUCUGCAAACUAUGGGCCAUUGGUGAAUAUCAUCUGCCAAAUCCAGUCUACCAUCUGUUUUUGUAUAUAAAGUCUUAUUGGAACAAAGCCACACCCACUCAAUUAUAUACCAUUGAUAGUUGCUUUCAAGCUAAGUGGAGCAGCAGCAACUGAGACCUAAUGGCCCACGAAGCCUAAAAUAUUCACUAUUUGGAUCAUUACAGAAGUUUGCAACCUCUGCUGUACCUCUUCUCAUGAC